CUACCCUUGACAUGUCCGGAAUCCUGCAGAGAUGCGGGAGUGCCCGAAAGGGAAUCGGAACACAGGUGCUGCAUGGCUGUCGUCAGCUCGUGUCGUGAGAUGUUGGGUUAAGUCCCGCAACGAGCGCAACCCUUAUCAUUAGUUGCUACGCAAGGGCACUCUAAUGAGACUGCCGGUGACAAACCGGAGGAAGGUGGGGAUGACGUCAAGUCCUCAUGGCCCUUAUGGGUAGGGCUUCACACGUCAUACAAUGGUCGGUACAGAGGGUUGCCAAGCCGCGAGGUGGAGCCAAUCCCAGAAAGCCGAUCGUAGUCCGGAUUGUCCUCUGCAACUCGAGAGCAUGAAGUCGGAAUCGCUAGUAAUCGCGGAUCAGCAUGUCGCGGUGAAUACGUUCCC
rnacentral:rRNA from 1 species